rnacentral:rRNA from 1 species
CAGCGCCACAAGUGGGGAUCGCUUUUAUUGGGCCUAAAGCGUCCGUAGCCGGUCUAUCGAAUCUCUUGUGAAAUCGUUCGGCUCAACCGAACGGCGUGCAGGAGACACUCCUAGACUAGGGACCGGGAGGGGUCAGAGGUAUUCUGGGGGGAGCGGUAAAAUGCUAUAAUCCCCGGAGGACCACCGGUGGCGAAGGCGUCUGACCAGAACGGAUCCGACGGUGAGGGACGAAAGCUAGAGGAGCAAACCGGAUUAGAUACCCGAGUAGUCC